rnacentral:rRNA from 1 species
ACGCUCGACACCUACGGGAAGCAGCAGUGGGGAAUAUUGCACAAUGGGGGAAACCCUGAUGCAGCGACGCCGCGUGAGCGAAGAAGUAUUUCGGUAUGUAAAGCUCUAUCAGCAGGGAAGAAACUGACGGUACCUGACUAAGAAGCAUCGGCUAAAUACGUGCCAGCAGCCGCGGUAAUCUGAGCGGGCUGGCAAGGC